rnacentral:rRNA from 1 species
UGGGGAAUAUUGGUCAAUGGGGGAAACCCUGAACCAGCAACGCCGCGUGAGGGAAGAAGGCCUUCGGGUUGUAAACCUAAGUUGUCAGGGACGAAGAAAGUGACGGUACCUGAAGAGAAAGCUCCGGCUAACUACGUGCCAGCAGCCGCGGUAAUACGUAGGGAGCGAGCGUUGUCCGGAAUUACUGGGUGUAAAGGGUGCGUAGGCGGGAAAGCAAGUCCGACGUGAAAUGCCGGGGCUCAACUCCGGAGCUGCGUUAGAAACUGUUUUUCUUGAGUGAAGUAGAGGCAGGCGGAAUUCCUAGUGUAGCGGUGAAAUGCGUAGAUAUUAGGAGGAACACCAGUGGCGAAGGCGGCCUGCUGGGCUUUAACUGACGCUGAGGCACGAAAGCAUGGGGAGC